rnacentral:rRNA from 1 species
UACAGGGGGUGCAAGCGUUGUUCGGAAUUACUGGGCAUAAAGCGCACGUAGGCGGUUCGCUAAGUCUGUCGUGAAAUCCCCCGGCUCAACCGGGGAAUAGCGUCGGAUACUGGCGAGCUCGAGGUCGAUAGGGGUAAGUGGAACUCCAGGUGGAGCGGUGAAAUGCGUAGAUAUCUGGAGGAACACCGGUGGCGAAAGCGGCUUACUGGAUCGAAUCUGACGCUGAGGUGCGAAAGCUAGGGUAGCAAACGGG